AGCAUCAGUCUUUUUAAAGGCAAUAGGACAGUACGUGUCUGGCAUCCAGGAAGCACUCCAUAAAUCAUUGACUGCAUCUUACCAAACCAGUUGGAUACUCAUGUCAGAACAGCAGCAUCUUUCAUGAUAUAAAGCUUGCUUGGGAAACCCAAAUACAGUUGAUCGUUGAACAACACAAGUUUGAACUGUGUGGGUCCACUUAUACUCAUAUUUUUUAAAUAAAUACAGUACAGAACUGUAAAUGUAUUUUCUAUUCUCCAAAAUUUUCUUAAUAAGAUUUUCUUUUCUCUAGCUUAUUUUGAGAACACAAUAUGUAAUACAUGUAACAUGCAAAAUAUAUGUUAAUUAUGUUAUCAAUAAGGCUUCCAGUCAACAUAGGCUAUUAAUAGUUAAGUUUCUGGAGACUCAAAAGUUGUACACAGAUUUUCAACUGUAUGAGAGGUCAGCACCCAUACCACCUGCAUUGUUCAAGAGUCAACUGUAAUACAUAUAAGUUUGCUUUAUAAAAAUCAAUUAAAAAUUAUAGUAAAAGACAUUUAUAUUCAUGUGGAAUAUUUUUCAGGAGGCCAUGAUAGUUUGCUGGGUCAGUUUUCUUUCACAAUAGAAGGAGUACUGCCUACCUGACCAUAUACAUGUCCCAUGUAAGGAAAGGCUUCAUCCUAGACAAUGCCAGGGCUAUGCUCUGAUUUCAGGGGCUUGAAGCCACAUUCUUUAUACCAAGAUCUUUGUCCCAUCUGCCCCAAAUUCCAUAAGUUGAGACAUUCUUUUAUGCAUUGAAGACCUGGUUUGUUUAAGUUCUUUCAAUGGAAGCAUCUCUGGCCAUAGCCAUAUUUGUUUUGCUGUUGAAAAGUUGGGGUCAUUGAUGACCAUUCACUGGAAAGAUGGGUUCUAAAAUGGAAAGAAGAGGGAGGGCACCUGAGAGUAAUGAAACCAUCAGAAAAAAAUCUUUGCUACAUUUACAGUAAAAAAUGUAGGGGUGCUUAGGAAAGGGGAAGGCUCUGCAUAUCAGAGAUUUCUCCUUAAGUCUAAGCCAUUUCUGGAAUAGUUUCCAAGUAAUAACCAAUCAUGCCUAUGGUAACUUUAUAAAGAGGCUUAUAUUACAGUUUCUUGCUGUAACAACAUUACUUUCUUUUUAUGCCAGUAGAAAACAUCCCCAAAUGUAAAACUCAAAUGGAAUUAUAAAGUCUUUCCUUUUCCUUAUUUUUGCCUCCAUAGACUGAUUUUUUUCCCCAUUGCAAGUGAUAUCUCUACCCUAGUUGUCUUCUGUAUUUUUAGCAGAAUGGAGAAAAUGAUCUUACCAGUAAAAUGGUUUUGAAUUCCCAUUAUUUUGCUUUGAUUGAUGAUAUGAACCCCCAUAAUAUCUCUUCUAUAGUCCAUAUCAGGGGUCAGUAAACUAUUUCCUGUAAAUAUAAUUUUAUUGGACAAUGAUACACCCAUUCAUUUAUGUAUCAUCUAUGACUACUUUCAUGUUACAAUGACAGAAUUAAAUAGUUGCCAUGUACCUAUGGCCUUCAAAGCGUAUGGCAUUUACUAUCUAGCCCUUUACAGAAACAAUUUACUGAUUCCUCACCUACAUGGUAAGGAAAACCUCUAUGAAUCUAAAAGCAGACACUUUAUUCCUUGUCUAUACAUUUCAUGACUUAUCGUCUUUUCUAAAAAUUUGAUUCAUUUAUGGUGCUAGCUGGCCUUAGUACUCAUCUUUUUCUACCAUAUUGGAAAAGAGUAUUUGCGCCAACUACAUUCUUCCCUGAUGAAAAAAGAAAUAUUAGUUUGAUUUCUGGCUUUGCCAUUUGCUAGUAAUAUGACAUUGGAAAAGCUAUUUAAGUUCUCCCAGAUUCAUCAUAACCUGUAAAGUGGAAAUAAUGAGAUCUACUCCAUUUGGUUAUUGUGAAGGUUAAGUGAAAAUAUUACUUUAGCACUUAGCAUAAUUCCACUCAUAAUGAGUGCUCAAUGCGUUUUAUUUACAUAUAAUAGAAGUAACUUUAAAAACAUAUUUUGAAAAUAUCAACAUACCCACAGAAACAUGCCAUUAUAAAAAUGAUACUAAGUAAUUCCCAAUACAAACAAAGAUACCUUAGUUUUGUUCUUUGCAAAUAAAACAAGAGGGAUAAAGCUAAUCAUUAACUUGGAGUUCAUUGAGCUUUGAUAGUGAGAAUGAAGACAUUUGCUAAUUUCUAUUUUUUAAGUGUGUGUGUGUGUGUGUGUGUGUGUAACAAGAAGGAAUUAGAAACUAACUUGAAUGCCUGCAGUACACAGUCAAAACACUUCUGUUGAUAAAAAGAAAAAGGUGCUGGAAUAAGAUAAUAAAAAUGUAAAACAUGAUUGUUACUGAUUAACAGAUUUUAAUUGUCCACUAUGAAGUUAUUUUCUUAGGAUUAAAUAUGAAGUUUUUGCAUGUUUUCCUAUUCUAAAUUUAGCCUGUUUGUGAAGUGCUCUGAGUCCUUCUUUUCUGUUUCAGUUUAUAUGUGACCUGCAGGCAAUCUUUCCUAGCUACCGUGUGUGGUUUCCAGAUCCGUCUUAUGUGCUCCCAUAACUCAACCUUUCUGUUAUUAUUCAGCACAUUCUAUAUUGUACUUUAUCUGUUUGCAUGUCUAACUCACCAUUAGCUACAUAUUCCUGGAAAGAAGAAUCAUAAUUAUAUUUUAUCCUGCACACUUACCACGCAGUGAUUGUCAGUCAGUUAAAUAAAUGUUCAGGUUAAAAGAAAGAAUGUGACAUACAUAAAAUGGAAAGAAGGCUUUUCAGUACAGUUUUAUAAUUAACGCUGAAAUUAUGAGAAUUCCAUAUUCAUGCAAUAUUCUGAUUUAAAAAACUUUAAAAAUGAAAAAUGAACUCAAUUAGUAAUUUAAUAUCAUUCAACCAACAAAUAUUUAUUGAGCAAAUGAUUUGCAGGCACUAUUUUAGGUGAUGGGGAGACAGUAAUGAACGAAGCAGAUAAGAUCUCUGAUUUCCUAGAGCAUCAUGAACUCCCAUACAUGAGGCAUUGUACUUGCUUGCAAAGAAAACUCACUCACAAAAUGACAGAUGUAUGUGUUAUUGAGGCAAACUCUGAACUCAUGUUUGGAAAGAUGAAUGACAUUUUCUAUUCACUGUUAUAAGCAGUGAACUUGGAUGUUAUUUCUUGAACCAUCCUUUAAUAUCUAGAAAUUUCUGAAGCAGGAGUUAUAAUCGCCUAGUAAAAUGUCAACGUCACUUAUGUAAAGCAUAAUUUUCAUUUUAUGCUGUUUCUGUUUUUGCUAUCGCAGUUUCUGUUAGUGACUAUUUAGAUCACAAGUGACCCAUCAUGUGGUAUCAGUGUUUCUCUGUGUCGGUGUUUCUGCAAGGUGGGGGAAUGGGGUAAUAGAUCUCAGUGGCUUCUUUCAGAAAAACAAUUAACACAGUAAUUUAUUGCCAUGAAAAUUCUGUAUAGCAAACCACCCUGAAACUCAUUGGACCAAUGGGCUUCACUGGGGCUUGGUCUUCUCAUGGGAAAGCAUGGAGGACAUUCAUAAAUAUAGAGUUCUCCCAAUGACACGGCUUAGAACUGGCACACUUUUAUUUCUAUCCAUAUUCUUUUGGCUAAAACAAGUAAAGUAACAAAGCUCAAGUUCUAAGGACAGGAUAGUAGCUUCCAUUCUCAGAGAAGAAAAGACACAAGUGUAGAUGCCAGGAGAGUGAAGAACUGGGACCAACAGUAGCCUAUCACAAUAAUCCUAUGAUUUACUAUGGCUGAGUAACAAACAGAAAUGGAUGAGAAAUUGUACUUAAGAUAGUCAUUUUGCUCAACUGAAGGAUCUGGCUCCAUUUUGGAAGUUUUAUACAGAGGAAUUAAAAAAUUGAUGUACCGAACAUAUGUGACCACCUACCCUCAAAACCAGUGUUUCUGUAAUUGUGAUUAGUAACAUUAUUGGGGGGGAUAAACCCCACUAAUUAAACAAAGAAAUAAAAUAGAAAAUAUCAGAGUGGGUUGAAUGAAGUAAGCAUUUUGUUUAAUGAAAACGUUUGCUUCUGUUAUGGAGGCAUACCUACAUGUGUACUGAGUCAUGAUACAAAAUAUAUGUCUUCCUAUUGUGGUUAAAACAAAGCUUGGGAAAGCCGUUGUUCUAACUUAUUUUCUAUCUAUAAGAUGUUAUUGGGUUUAAGUACAUUCUAAUUUUUCAAAAUAGUCCUUGGGCAGGCAUGUCAUCUGUUUUGAAAUUGAACCGUUUUUUCAGUGUUCGUUUUUUCCUUUGUACAGAUAUCUAAUACAGGAGUACUUUUCUUUCAAAUCAAUCAACAAUUAAGGCAGUUUUAAUGGACACGUGUUUUUAUAUAUAUGCUGGUAACACCCAUGACUGUGGUUACUGGUGGCCCAUGUUUGAGAUUAUUUUAAAAGUAAUGGUAAUAUUUACCUUCUCUAUUUAGCUUGCUCACUGCCAGCUUCCUGAUGCUGGUUUAGAAUAAAAGCACUUCCCAGUUAUAUGUAUCAAUAAUAUACUGUUACCUUGCUUCAGAAAGAUUUAUUAUCAGCUUAUCUUUUCCAGAUUUCAAUAUUUGCGUCAUCUGUCUAGGUGAACUGUGGCCUACGGUAACACAGCAGUGGCUCUAGUCAGUAGCUGUCCAGGGGACACAUGCGGAGGGGGCCUCCUCCCCAAAGGCAGUGUUUCUGCAGCCGGCUUGUCCCCUCUCUGGUCACUCUUACCUGAGAAGCAUCAGUGCCAUCUUCUGGGAAACCUCUGUGCCACAGAGCCAAGUGGAAGAAGCAGUGGAUGAACAGGCUGAAGCGAAAAAGAAGAAAGAUGAGGCAGAGGUCCAAGUAAACUGUCAGCUUGUGCACCCACGGAAGUCACAGGAACAUCCCAGAGGUCAGGGAUAUUUGUACAAAUUGUUGGACUGCACGCCUACUUUCUAGAACUUGAUUCAGUGGAUCUAGACAUCCAUCAUCAUUUGAUCACAAUGACCACCUGGGACCUUCCUUAGCAAAGGCAACAACCAACAAAACUAAAAGGCAACCAAUGGAAUGGGAAAAGAUAUUUGCAAAUGACAUAUCGGAAAAAGGGCUAGUAUCCAAAAUCUAUAAAGAGCUCACCAAACUCCACACCUGAAAAACAAAUAACCCAGUGAAGAAAUGGGCAGAAAACAUGAAUAGACACUUCUCUAAGGAAGACAUCCAGAUGGCCAACAGGCACAUGAAAAGAUGCUCAACGUCACUCCUCAUCAGGGAAAUACAAAUCAAAACCACAUUCAGAUAUCACCUCACGCCAGUCAGAGUGGCCAAAAUGAACAAAUCAGGAGACUAUAGAUGCUGGAGAGGAUGUGGAGAAACGGGAACCCUCUUGCACUGUUGGUGGGAAUGCAAACUGGUGCAGCCACUCUGGAAAACAGUGUGGAGGUUCCUCAAAAAAUUAAAAAUAGACCUACCCUACGACCCAGCAAUAGCACUGCUAGGAAUUUACCCAAGGGAUACAGGAGUACUGAUGCAUAGGGGCACUUGUACCCCAAUGUUUAUAGCAGCACUCUCAACAAUAGCCAAAUUAUGGAAAGAGCCUAAAUGUCCAUCAACUGACGAAUGGAAAAAGAAAUUGUGGUUUAUAUACACAAUGGAGUACUACGUGGCAAUGAGAAAGAAUGAAAUAUGGCCCUUUGUAGCAACAUGGAUGGAACUGGAGAGUGUGAUGCUAAGUGAAAUAACCCAUACAGAGAAAGAUACCAUAUGUUUUCAUUCUUAUGUGGAUCCUGAGAAACUUAACAGGAACCCAUGGGGGAGGGGAAGGAAAAAAAAAAGAGGUUAGAGUGGAAGAGAGCCAAAGCAUAAGAGACUCUUAAAAACUGAGAACAAACUGAGGGUUGAUGGGGGGUGGGAGGGAGGGGAGGGUGGGUGAUGGGUAUUGAGGAGGGCACCUUUUGGGAUGAGCACUGGGUGUUGUAUGGAAACCAAUUUGACAAUAAACUUCAUAUAUUGAAAAAAAUAAAAAUAAAAUAAGUGUUUUACAAAACACUUUUGGUAUUGUAAUAAAGAAUAGUGGAUAAAUUAGAGAGCUGCAAACGUAUUUUUAGAAUAAAAUUAUUAUCAAGUUUAUUUCUAGUUUUAUUUCUAAAUCUGUAUAGAACAAAAACAGGAUAUGAGGGCAUUUCAGAAACUUUAGGGCAUUUAGCAAAACUUUAAUUUUAAUAUAAGACUAAUGUGGAUAAGUAACUCAUGUAAAGAAUUAUAUAAGCACAAAAAGCACAAAUUGUAUAAUUUCUUAAUAAUUACUCACCAAGAGGUUUUUUUUUAAAGUAUGGUUAAAGUUUUGUUUGAAGCAAUUCAUAGACAAUACAUUUAAUUUUAUUAAAUACUUUUUUUCUGGUUAUGAAAGUAAAACAUUCUUAUAGUAGAAAACUUGGAAUAUGUAGAAAACAUAGAGAAGAAAGUAAAACUUUCCUAUUCUUUCACCACCCAGGAAAUUUUUUUGGUAAAAUUUGGUAUUAUUUUUCUUAUUUGCUGUUGUUUAAUUUUUUUUUUUUGAGUUUCAAUCUCACCACCUCUGAGUAAAUGAUAUUAAGCAUUUAGAGUAUACCAUUCCAUACCUAUUUUCCAUGUUUAUACAAAUGUGUGUGUGUGUGUGUGUGUGUGUGUGUGUGUGUGUCCCUACAAGUAGUAUUGUUGAAAAUAUUUUUUUCUUUACUUGACAAGAUAUCAUUGCCAUCUUUCUAUAUCUCCAAAUAUUUUAAUUUUACAUCUUACUGCGUAUCUGUCAUAUCUACUGAUGUGUGUAUGUCUGCUAGAAGUUCAGACUGUUUUAGUUCUUACUUUUGUUGCUGUUACAAAAACUACUGCUGGGUUGAACAACAUAGGUAUUUUAACUUGAAAAAAUACUGCUAGAGAAAAUUGCCAAAAUAAAUGAUUAGCUAUAUAUCUUGUCAUCUUGUCAAGAAGUUUCAUUUGCCUGCCCCUCACCAUCCUGAGAAAAACUGGGAGACAUUGAGAUAGUUGCAAAUUUAAGUUCCAGGUUAGCAUUAAGUUUUCUUGAAAUACAUAUUUUUUCAUUUCAAAAAUCCUUUUUUAAUAAGCAUUGCAUUGUGUUAUAUGAUCAUAAUCCUUUUUAGUUUACACUAAAUCUUAGUUUAAAUAGUGUUACUUACUGAUGUUGUUUUUAUUCUUCAUCUGUUGUUAUUUAGAAUUUUUUGUUUUGAUUUCAUUUUUAUAUUGUUAGAGUAUUCCCUAGAGUUUCUCAGAAGGUGGUCAUAAAUGUAUACUUGUCUUUCUUUUGCCUUCAUCUGACUACUGUUUUGGCUGAAUAUAGGAUUGUUGAGUUGCCGUCUUAUUUCCUUAAUAGUUUCUAAACUUCUUCCACUGCCCUCUGGCUUCCAAAAUUGCUAGCCCAAUCAUCUUUCCUUUGUGUGUGUGUGUAUGUGUGUGUGUGUGUGUGUGUGUGUGUGUGUGUGUGUGUGUUUAAGCAGCAUUGUUGAGAUAUAAUUGAUAUGCAAAGAACCAUACACAUUUAACAUGUACAAUGAAGGAAUUUCUAACUGGAUGGCUAGAAGAUUUUCUUCUUUAUCUUUGAAAUCAGAACCAAGCUAAGUGUAUGUGCCCUACUUUAUAAUGGCCCCAGGGGGCACAGAAAUGAACUAAUGAACUCCUUAGUUCAUUUGUUCAUUCAUUCAAUCCUUUAUUCAUUUUUGUGCUCAAUGUUCUAGACAUUUCCCAGGCCCUGGGGCUAUAGCAAUGAAUAAAACAGCCCAUUCCUUUAUGACAUACUCCCUUCUUUGAUUCAUUUCAUCUUGAUUUUUCCCUGUUCAUCCCCCUUUUCCCAUUGCUUUCCCUCUGCCUAUAGUGACCUUUUAGAAUGUACCUUUUAAUGUUGAUUUAAAUAUAUGUGUAUUCUUAUAAGAGUUUCCUGAUGCUUUUUUAUAUAUUCCCUUAACAUGUCUAUAACAUUCUUCUUGGAUGUUUCCUUAUUUGAUAAACUAUGCACAGGAUACUAUUGUAAGUAAACACUUUACAAAUGUUAACUCAUUCCAGCCUCA